CUUUUCUCUCCCCCUCUCUCUCUCGCAAGUUCUCCGUUUUCCUUUUCUCUUUUCUUCUUCCUCCCGACACCUCUCUCCCUCUUCCUCUCUCGGCCUCACGCAGCAUCACGCCUCCCCCUUCUCUUCUUCUUCCUUCUUCCUCCAUUCCUCUCGAUUCCAACCCGUAGCAGCACCCGAACCCCCCCCCCCCCUAUUUCUCCCUUCUCUUCUUCCAUUUUUCUUGCACACACGAGCUUGAGUGAGAGUGGCGAGCUGUGAUGGACAGAGCACCGGAGAACACCAAGCAAGGGGAGUCCGAAAUGCAGCAAACUGAGGCUCGUGUCUGGAUUGAAGACUUUAAUUGGUCCUUCAAUGUAGAGUCCAAGUGACUAGAAUCCAGUAGAAUAUUCAAGUCAAGAGUCCAAUGCAGCCAAAGUUGUAUGAGGAGUGGCGCUUUGCCUUGAGAUUGCAUCCGAGAGGAUCAUUCCUGGAUAUGGUGGAGGUAUGAGUUCUGCAAAAGCUGCCCUAGAGAGUGACACACGAGUUUGGCAUGUGAGCGGCCAGGAAAAGAUUCUCCUUCCAGCUUCUGAUCAGUCAAAAUUGUAUAGUGGAGACUGCUAUAUCUUUCAGUGUUCAUAUCCAGGAGAAGACAAAGAGGAGUACCUUAUAGGAACAUGGUUUGGAAAGCAGAGUGUUGAGGUGAAAUUUUUGUAAGCAUUCAUUCCUUUUUCUAAUUUGAUUUUAACACCAUGUUGAGAAAAUUAUUGAGCAUUAGAACCUUACAAACAUUUCCAUAAGAAAGGCGUGGGGACUUUAAAAGGUAUAUGAUUAAGAGUGGGAACCUUCAAUGUUUUCAA